rnacentral:rRNA from 1 species
AAUGGAUGCCGCUGAAGCGUCGUGCCUAUGCUCGGCCGUCAGUGGCAGAGUGGGCUGCAGCGUGCGUUCGCAGACCCGGUAAGCCCUGACGAGUAGGAGGGCGCAGUGGUGUGCGCAGAAGGGACCGAGCCGUAAGGCCGCCUGGAGCCGCCACUGGUGCAGAUCUUGGUGGUAGUAGCAAAUACUCGAGUGAGAGCCCUGGAGGGCUGAUGUGGAGAAGGGUUCCUUGUGAACAGCCGUUGCACAAGGCUCAGUCGAUCCUAAGUCCUCGCCAAACAGCGACGCGUGGUUCAACCGCCAGGACGAAAGGGGACGCGGUCCCCAUUCCGCUACCUGGACGCGGAACCGCUCGUUUCGUGGCCCUCGUUGAAGGCCUCGUCGGGGUAACCCGAAAAGACCCGGAGAAGCUGAGGGGAGCUCCGGGGAGAGUUAUCUUUUCUGUAUCAGCGUUGUAGCUGCCUGGAAUCCUCUAGCAGGGAGAUAGGGAGCCGAACGCGGAGAGCACCGCUUGCUGCGGUGUCCGGAGCCUCUCCCUCGGACCGUGAAAAUCCGGGAGAGGGCCACGCGAAGUCUCGCGCCAGGUCGUACUCAUAUCCGCAUCAGGUCUCCGAGGUGAAGAGCCUCUAGUCGUAUA